GUGAGUCAUCGAAUCUUUGAACGCACAUUGCGCCCCUCGGUACUCUGGGGGGCAUGCCUGUCCGAGCGUCAUUGAAGACUAUCAAGCAUGGCUUGGUCUUGGGCGAGGUCUGGGGACCCGCUCGCAACCCGUCGGCGGUGUCGGUUCGGCCUUGAGCGUAGCAGAAUACUCGCUCAGGGGCCGUGGCGGCUCUCGCCAGCACAUUCUACCCAUAGUUUGACCUCGGAUCAGGUAGGGAUACCCGCUGAACUUAAGCAUAUCAAUAAGCGGAGGA
rnacentral:misc_RNA from 1 species